AUACGUUUGGUUGAUGGACUGGAUGAUAACGUUAUGGACUCCAGAAGAUCUGAGUGACGCUGGUGAUGACAGGGCUGGAUGACAGCAAGGUCGCCAUGGUGACCAGAUCCUGCUAUGCAACCAGAGAGCAGUCAGCUGAUGGAGUUUCACCAUACGACCUCAUCGUUGGCAGAUGUGGCAAAGACUCGACGGAGGAGGAGGAGGAAAGCGACGAGGGAACAUCCAACUCCUUCUCUUUCAACGUGUUCCAGUUCUCCAGGAAGGAUGAGGACAUCUAGCUGAAGUGUGAAGUGGAGCUGUGCCUCACAGAGGAGCAAAGCUGCUCUCAGAGCUGUAACGAUGGAGGCAAAAGGAGGUGCAGAUCCUUCAGGUCUAGAUAUGAUAGAAACUCGGCCGUCAUCACGAUGUCCUGGAAUAAUUAAAGACAGCUCCCCUUCUGAUGGAUUACACGGUGAUUCCUCACUUGAGCUUCGUCCCAACAAGGAGCCUGAAAUCUCAGAGUCUGAAGUUAUCGUCGCUGUGAAACCACGCCGGCAGAUAAUCUUCAUCUGAUCCACCUGAGAUGGUGUUUAUCAUCUCUGCAGAAUCCGUGGGCCGCUGAUUCAACCCACUGAUUCAUGCACAUAUAAUCUGUGGAGAAAUAACGGAAGUGAAGAGCAAAGAAGAACAAAAAUACCGUGAAACUUCACUUAAUAGCUUCACUGACUGAAGUCAACAGGCCUGUAUUUGAGACAGGCCUUUAAUUGCUGUCACACAAACUGCUGCUCAGCAAAGAUCAGGAAAUACAGUCAAAGUGUUUUUAAACCAGUCUGAAUAUUAGUUCUUUAAGAAUUAGGCUCCAGAUAACAUAUAAAUUAUGAGUCAUUAAUUUGGUCUAACUCUGACAGACGGAGCAUCAGAGAGAGUUACAGCACUGGGAACACCGACACAAAACCACUUUGUCCUGUUAAAACAAUCCUCACAACUUGGAUUCAUUUUUAUGGAUGAACCUUUUGACCUGAGGACCCCGACAGACUGAAGGAAUAUGAAU